rnacentral:rRNA from 1 species
GGUAACAGGGAGCUUGCUCCGCUGACGAGUGGCGAACGGGUGAGUAAUAUAUCGGAACGUACCCAGAAGUGGGGGAUAACGUAGCGAAAGUUACGCUAAUACCGCAUACGAUCCACGGAUGAAAGUAGGGGACCUUCGGGCCUUAUGCUUUUGGAGCGGCCGAUAUCUGAUUAGCUAGUUGGUGAGGUAAAGGCUCACCAAGGCGACGAUCAGUAGCUGGUCUGAGAGGACGACCAGCCACACUGGAACUGAGACACGGUCCAGACUCCUACGGGAGGCAGCAGUGGGGAAUUUUGGACAAUGGGCGCAAGCCUGAUCCAGCAAUGCCGCGUGAGUGAAGAAGGCCUUCGGGUUGUAAAGCUCUUUUGUCAGGGAAGAAACGGGUGUGGCUAAUAUCCACGGCUAAUGACGGUACCUGAAGAAUAAGCACCGGCUAACU